UCUGCCAUACAAAUGAAAUCUUAACUUUCUUACUUCAGAACGCUGACUCCAUUCCUUUGGAGCUGGUAGAAAUUUUACAGCUUUGGGUUUUACAUUUAAGUCCAUGAUCCAUUUUGUUUUUUUAUAUGGUGUGAGGCAGGAGGUGCGACUUGACUCCCAAGGUGGAGCUUGGACACAGGACCAGAUUGAGGACCAGCUAAAACAGGGAAGAGGUGGAAGCUCUUCUCCAUAAAACACACCAACUAAUGUGCCCUGUCAGUUUAGCUUUGCCAUGGCAACACCCAGAUGCUACCACUCCUUUCCAUGGUAAUGACCCACUGACCCAAAAGUUACCUCCCUUUUUCUAGAAAUUUCUGCACACUCAGCCCCUUGAUUUGCAUAUAAUUAGAAGUGGGUAUAAAUAUGACUGCAGAACUGCGUCUGAGCUGCUACUCUGAGCACACUGCCUAUGGGGCAGCCUUGCUCUGCAGGAGCAGUCUUGGAGUUGUAACACUGCUGCCUGAAUAAAACUGUUUUCAGCUCACUCUUGAUUUAUUUCCUGGGUGAAGCCAAGAACACUCCUGGGCUAAGGGCUUGCCUGCCCUGUGUCAUGCAUACAACUUUGUUUUGUUUUUGCAUAUAGAUAUCUGAACUACCUUUGAAGCUUAGUUGAAAAUCAGUUCAUCACUUGUCCAUGUAUGUGUCUAUUUCUGGACUCUAUUCUGUUGCACUGAUAUAUAUUUCUCUCUCUUGAUGCUAAUACUACACUUUUUUUUUUUUUUUUUGAGACAGGGAAUCAUUCUGUUGCCCAGGCUAGAAUGCAGUGGCAUGAUCUCAGCUCACUGCAACCUCCACCUCCUGGGUUCAAGAAUUUUUGUAGUUUUUUAGCAGAGACGGGGUUUCACCAUGCUGGCCAGGCCGUUCUCGAACUUCUGGCCUUGGGUGAUCUGCCCGCCUCGGCCUCCCAAAGUGCUGGGGUUACAGGCAUGAGCCACUGCGCCCGGCUAACACUGUCUUGAUUACUGUAGCCUUAUAAUAAUUCUUAAGUCAGGCAGUAUUAGCUCUCCCAGCUUUGGCUAUUCUAGAUCUUUGCAUUUCCAUAUAAAUUUUAGAAUCAUUUUGUCAAUUUCUACCCAAAAACGCUUACCUGGAUUUUGGUUAGCAUUAUAUUGAAUCUUUAAACAUCUUCACAAUAUUUGGUCUUCUGAUCCAUGAAUACAACAUAUCCGUGUACUUAUUUAGUUCUUACCCAAUUUCUACCAGCAAUGCUUUUCACUUUUUAUGAUAGAAAUCUUGCGUCUUUUGUCAGCUCUAUCCUUAAAUAUUUCAUAUUUUUGAUGCUAUUGUGAAUGGUAUUUUUUCUAAUUGUUUGUUGUUAGUACAUAAAUUACAAUUGAUCUUCCUAUAUUGAUAUUUUAUCUUGCAACCUUGCGAAUCUCACCUAUUAGCUGUACUAGGUUUUUUGUAGGUUCCACAGGAUUUUCUACAUAAACCAGCACCAGAGCAAUGAACAAAGACAAAUUGUUUUUUUUUUUAUAGAUGUCAUUUAUCAAUCUUCAGGAAGUUUACAAGGAAGUUCCCAGUUCUGUUUCCAGAUUGCUAAAAGCUCUGGUGGGCCAGGUUCACAAGCAGAAAAAGUUUGUCUUCCAGACUCAGAUGCAGGAUGUUGAGAGAGAGACACUGAUGGGAUAAAAGCCAGUUUGCUGCAACUGCUUCACCAUUUUUAGGUUCAGUGUCCUCACCGACAACUCCUCCCAUAAGCUUUUUUUUUUU
rnacentral:lncRNA from 10 species